AUACGUAGGUGACAAGCGUUAUCCGGAUUUACUGGGCGUAAAGGGCGUGUAGGCGGUCUUGCAAGUCUGGAGUGAAAUUCCUGAGCUCAACUCGGGCGCUGCUUCUGAAACUGCAGGACUUGAGUGCUGGAGGGGAUAGCGGAAUUCCUAGUGGAGCGGUAAAAUGCGCAGAUAUUAGGAAGAACACCAGUGGCGAAGGCGGGUAACUGGACUGCAACUGACGCUGAGGCGCGAAAGUGUGGGGAGCAAACAGGAUUAGAUACCCUGGUAGUCCACACUGUAAACGAUGAAUGCUAGGUGUAAGAGGUAUCGACCCCUUUUGUGCCGGAGUCAACACAAUAAGCAUUCCGCCUGGGGAGUACGGCCGCAAGGUUGAAACUCAAAGGAAUUGACGGGG
rnacentral:rRNA from 1 species